rnacentral:rRNA from 1 species
CCCCUAGAUGUCCUGGGCUGCACGCGCGCUACACUGAUGUGUCCAGUAAGCACCUAACCUCUUCCGAAAGGAACGGGUAACCUUUGCAAAGCACAUCGUGAUGGGGAUAGAUUAUUGCAAUUAUUAGUCUUGAACGAGGAAUUCCUAGUAAGCACAAGUCAUCAGCUUGUGUUGAUUACGUCCCUGCCCUUUGUACACACCGCCCGUCGCUCCUACCGAUUGAAUGUUCCGGUGAGCUCUUCGGACUGCGCGGUCUGCAGUUUCUGCGUUCCGUGCGGAAAGUUGCGCAAACCUUAACAUUUAGAGGGAGGAGAAGUCGUAACA